UAAUUAGUCAGAGGGAAGGUGGCGCCGUAGAUGUUUAUAACCGGUUGUUAUUCCCUCUCCGCCUGCUCCUCCCACCUCCCUGGCGGAUCUAACGGCCGGAGGGACUGGGUGGAGCCGCCGGUAACGGCGCUGUGUGUCCUCCCGCCCCGGCCCCGCCGCCGCCGCGGUAAAGACGGAGCCCUCACCUCCUCCCGCCACCGCCGGGUGUGUGAGUGAGUGAGUGAGUGAACCGCUCCCGGUCGCUCCUGUCCUCGGAGGAGGGUUUUGAAUAAAAUGGCGGUGGGUUCGGGGGGUUUAAUGUGAUUUCUCCCCUCGCUCGGCCCACACGUCACUAACCCCCUACUCACCCCGGAUUAAAGGGGAGGGCGGGAGGGAGCCCCUCCACCCAGUCAGCCGUUUGUCGACAUAAAUUACACCUGUGAGGUGAAGGAGUUGGGAUGAGAGGGUGGUGUUGGUACUGCGUUGACAUUGACCCAUUCAUUCGCUUUUCCCAUCAUUAAACUCUGCACCUUUCGUUAAAAAGCGUUUCCAUGUCUCCAAAGACCACUAUGUUAAUUGAAGGUAGACACAAAAUGCUGGAGUAACUCAGCGGAUCAGGCAGAGGUGAUGUUUUGGGCCGAAACCCAUCUUCAGACUGAGAGUCAGGGGAGAGGGAAACGAAAGAUAUGGAAAGCUGGCGAUGAAGUGCUUUCUUGGAACAUUGAUUGAAAGAUACAGCGUGGAAGUAGGCCCAUCAGCCCACCGAGUCCACGCCGAUCAUCAUCGAACAAGAUGUCUAUCUGACCUCGUCCCAUUUCCUUGCUGUUGGCACCCAUCCUUCAAAACCUUUCAUAUUCUUGUACUUAUCGCAAUGUCUUUUAAUUAUAAUUGUACCAACCUCUACAGCUUUCUUUGGUAGCUCACUCCAUAUACCCACCAUCCUCUGUGUAAAAAAGUUCCUCAGGUCCCCUUGAAAUCUUUUCUCCCUCAUCUUGAAUCUCUGCCUUCUAGUUUUAGACUCAUCUGCCCAAGGAAAGAAGACUGUAACCAUUGACCUUAUCUAUGCCCCCUCAUGAUUUUGUAUACCUCUAUAGAGUCCUAUGUUAACCAUAACCUUAACCUAGGGGGUAACCUUAACCUAGGGGCCUAUCCUGCCUCACCUUAUGAUUCAAGCUCUCCAGUCCCGGUAACAUUCUCAGUGGUGUUUCCAUGCUCCUUCUUCAAGGUGGAGGUCGCAGCAAAGUGCUGUUGGAUUAGUGAGUAACAGCAGUGCAUUUUAUAGUUGGUACAGACUGAACUACCACAUGACAGAGGAAAUUAAUGUUUAGAAUGACAAAACAAUAGGAUAAAAUAUUAUCACGUCCUGUCAAUGCACUCAGAUUGUCGGUUUGAUAUAUCACACAAACUGCUGAAUUUACAAACCCAGCUGUGUGUUUUAGUGAUGUUUAUACGAAAGAUAAGUACCAACAUCUGAUUAUCCGCUCGGUCCUACGCCUACUCCAAUAUGUUUAACUAUGAUACCAAUGUACACUUUUGAAAAAGCAAUGUUAAGAAAAUGUACUAUUGCUACACAGGCAUAGAAAUCCCAAUAUGGGAAAAAUCAAAGGAAAUGCAUGAUCCUUCAAUAUUUAACUAAUUUUCUGCCUGUGUUUGUAAUAAUUAGCUUUAUGAGAUAAAAUUGCAAGCCAAAACGGAAGAUAUGAAUCAUUUCUUUAUUACGUGGUUCCUCGUGUCCUCUUUCACUUGUAAUAGCAGAAUUUCUGACUUAUUGGCGAGACACCUUCUCAUCAAACGUGCAUUCUUGUGCCAUGAUGAGCAAAAAUGAACAUGGUAUGAAAGCACUCAUGAACCUAUGUCCCAUAAAUAUCAGUGAGAUAUUUUCAUAUCCACCAAGAUAUAUAGAUACUUCUAUUAUAAACUGGUAAAUGCAUAGUCUGCAUAUUGGAUUCAGGAAUAUGCUGAACUGUCUUGGCUAAUAUUCCCAAACAGAGUAAAUGCCUCCGUGAGGUCUGUUUUUUGAUGUAGCCACAGGCUUUAGGCAGUGUGGUACUAUCUCAUUUCAUCAUAUUGCCUCUUGACAAUCAAUUAGGGUACAAUGGAGCAGCAAGCAGUUUGCUGGAGGAAAUGAGCGCUUCAAAAAGCAUCUAUGGGAGGAAAGGAAUGGUUGAUGUUUUACUUCAAAACCCUGCAUCAGGACUAAUAUGUUACGGUUUGAUUUGAUUAUGUUGCUUCAGACACUAACAUAAUUAUCCUGUCAUAGAGUGAUACAGUGUGGUAACAAGCCCUUCGGCCCAACUUGCCCGCACCGGCCAACAUGUCCCAGCUGGACUAGUCCCACCUGCCCGCGUUUGGUCCAUAUCCCUCCAAACCUGUAAUUUCCAUGUACCUGUCUAACUGCUUCUUCAAUGUUGGGACAGUCCCUGCCUCAACUACCUCCUCUGGCAGCUUGUUCCACACAUCCACCACCCUUUGUGUGGAAAAAGCUACCUCUCAGAUGCCCAUUAAAUACUUUCCCCUUCACCUUAAACCUAUGUCCUCUGGUCCUCAAUUCACCUACUCUGGACAAGAGACUCUGUGCAUCUGCACAAUCUAUUCAUCUCUUGAGUUUAUACACAAUAUGGAUCUUGUAGCGUGUUUACAGUUCAGAGUCACUCUGAGAUUAAAUAUAUCACUGAUUUGAAUGAAAUGGACAUUAUUCUAUCUGAGGAUUGACCAUGUUUAUAU